CACACAAAGAACGCUCAUUAACAGAUGGAUACAGUGUUUCGGUUUUACUAUCGAGCGGCACACAACCUUCUGGGGUGGUCUCCCAUUCGGUCUUUUGGUUCGUUUCACAAACAGGGUUGGAAUCCACUGUUCGUGAAACUUGCAACAGCGUGUUAGCGGUAUUCGUGUGCCGUAACACACGAAUGCAUAUGAACGUUAGGUGAAAAUCUUUGCAUACGGAUACAUUUAACAGGGGUUAAGUGACUCACGAAUAGAGACACAAUA